rnacentral:rRNA from 1 species
UGGGGAAUUUUGCACAAUGGGGGAAACCCUGAUGCAGCGACGCCGCGUGUACGAUGAAGAUCUUCGGAUUGUAAAGUACUGUCCUUGGUGAAGAUAAUGACUGUAACCAAGAAGCAAGCCCUGGCUAAAUACGUGCCAGCAGCCGCGGUAAUACGUAUGGGGCAAGCGUUGUCCGGAAUUAUUGGGCGUAAAGGGUACGUAGGCGGUUAUUUAAGUCUAAAUUAAAAGGCAUUGGCUCAACCAAUGUAAGGUUUAGAUACUGGGUAACUUGAGUAGAUGAGGGGAAAGUGGAAUUCCAUGUGUAGCGGUGAAAUGCGUAGAUAUAUGGAGGAACACCAAUGGCGAAGGCAACUUUCUGGAAUCAAACUGACGCUGAGGUACGAAGGCGUGGGGAGCAAACAGG